rnacentral:tRNA from 1 species
GGAGAGGUGGCCGAGCGGCUUAAGGCAACGGUUUGCUAAACCGUCGUAGCGGGUAAACCGCUACCCCGGGUUCGAAUCCCGGCCUCUCCG